UGAAAUAAUGGAAUAAAAGACUCCUUGGAAGCAAAAGGCCUCUUGUUGAUUAAUGAGAAAUGCCAACCUCAAGAAAAAAAAUUGUUUUAAACCUACAAAGAAUUUACAUAAACAUCCUAAUACAAACAGGAAAAGAGGGGAAGGGAUUGUUUAAACUAGAAAGGUGAGUUAGCACCUGUUAAUGACCAGUUUGUUAGCUCACAAGCUGUUAACACUCAAACAAACUGGUCGUUAAAUGGGGUUAUUACAGAUUUCAAUGGAAAUUGAUUAGAGCCUUUAUUUAAAGAUUUAAUGGAAGGGCAACCCUCAGCCCUGCACACCUGGAGUAUCAAAGUGGCCAAAGGAAACCUCGGAGCUGCUUCAUCUGGAUAAAACAGGAUGAUUUCAGAGAGGCCUGGAGAGACUUACAUGAACUGAUGCUAAGUGAAAUGAGCAGAACCAGGAGAUCAUUGUACACAGCAACAGCAAGAUUAUAUGAUGAUCAAUUCUGACUGGCGUGGCUCUUCAACAGUGAGAUGAUUGAGGCCAGUUGCAAUGAUCUUGUGAUGAAAAGAGCCAUCCCUAUCCAGAGAGAGUUCUGUGGGAACUGAGUGUGGAUUACAACAUAGCAUUUUCACUGUUUUUGUUGUUGGUUGCUUGCAUUUUGUUUUCUUUCUCACUGUUUCCUGUUUGAUCUGAUUUUUCUUGGGCAGCAAGAUAAUUGUAUAAUAUGUAUACAUAUAUUGGAUUUAACAUAUAUUUUUAACAUGUUUAACAAAAAAAAAAAAGAAAUCUAUCAUUCUCUUUCAUAUGGGUCUAUUCUGUCUUUUCUCUUAUUUUUUUCUCUUCCUCUUACCACUUAGACUACCAGCUUAUUUAGUACAGAAUUGGAUCUUACAACAAAAGUAACCAAAGAAAUACCUACUAUGCACCUGUACUAAGAGCUAUGGAAGAUAUAAAGAACUACAAGAAA